rnacentral:rRNA from 1 species
UACAGAGGGUGCAAGCGUUGUUCGGAAUUACUGGGCGUAAAGCGUGCGUAGGCGGUUUGAUAAGUCGGGUGUGAAAGCCCCGGGCUUGACCUGGGAAUUGCAUUCGAUACUGUCUGACUCGAGUCUGGGAGAGGGGAGCGGAAUUCCGGGUGUAGCGGUGAAAUGCGUAGAUAUCCGGAGGAACAUCAGUGGCGAAGGCGGCUUCCUGGCCUAAGACUGACGCUGAGGUACGAAAGCGUGGGGAGCAAACAGG